rnacentral:rRNA from 1 species
GACCUCGGAUCAGGUAGGAAUACCCGCUGAACUUAAGCAUAUCAAUAAGCGGAGGAAGAGAAACCAACAGGGAUUGCCUCAGUAACGGCGAGUGAAGCGGCAAAAGCUCAAAUUUGAAAUCUGACCCUUCGGGUCCGAGUUGUAAUUUGCAGAGGAUGUUUCGGGUAAGAUUUAGGUCUAAGUUCCUUGGAACAGGACGUCAUAGAGGGUGAGAAUCCCGUACGUGACCGUUGAUCGCACCCAUGUGAAACUCCUUCGACGAGUCGAGUUGUUUGGGAAUGCAGCUCAAAAUGGGUGGUAAAUUUCAUCUAAAGCUAAAUAUUGGCCAGAGACCGAUAGCGCACAAGUAGAGUGAUCGAAAGAUGAAAAGCACUUUGAAAAGAGAGUUAAACAGUAUGCGAAAUUGUUGAAAGGGAAGCGC